rnacentral:rRNA from 1 species
GAGCGAACGCUGGCGGCGUGCUUAACACAUGCAAGUCGAGCGAAGGUGUUUCAAGGGUAACCUUGAGAUACACUUAGCGGCGGACGGGUGAGUAAUACGUGGAUAACUUACCUCUAGGCCUGGGAUAACCCCGGGAAACUGGGGCUAAUACCUGAUAAGACCACAUUGUCUACGGACAAAAGGGGUAAAAGGUGGCUGUGCAAACAGCUAUCGCCAAAAGAUAGGUUCACGUCCCAUCAGGCAGUGGUGAGGUAAUGGCUCACCAAACCAAAGACGGGUAGCCGGCCUUGGCGGGUGAACGGCCACACGGGGACUGAGACACGGCCCCGACUCCUACGGGAGGCAGCAGUGGGGAAUAUUGGCAAUGGGCGCAAGCCUGACCCAGCGACGCCGCGUU